UUCGUAGGCGGUGCGGCAAGUUGGGAGUGAAAUCUCUGGGCUUAACCCAGAGGCUGCUUUCAAAACUGCCGUGCUCGAGUGCGAGAGAGGCCAGUGGAAUUGCAGGUGUAGCGGUGAAAUGCGUAGAUAUCUGCAGGAACACCCGUGGCGAAAGCGGCUGGCUGGAUCGCAACUGACGCUGAGGAACGAAAGCUAGGGGAGCAAACAGGAUUAGAUACCCUGGUAGUCCUAGCCCUAAACCAUCAGGACUUGGGGUGGCCCGCGUAGGCGGGUCGUCUCGUGGCUAACGCGUUAAGUCCUGCGCCUGGGGAGUACGGUCGCAAGACUGAA
rnacentral:rRNA from 1 species